UCCUCCACAUCGAGAGGUGCCAGUUGAGGUGGCUUGGGCAUCUAUACCGGCUGCCUCCUUGACACUUUCCUCAGGAGGUGUUCUAUGGGAACUAUGUCAAUCAGCAUGAAGAAUCCACCAAGCACAAGAAGGACAUCAGUUGGCUGAUGAAGAGCUCUUUAUCAGAGCAGAAACAAAGGCAUUCAUGAAAAGCACAGAGUUCCCUGUGUCAGCUGAGAAGAAAAUCUAUCGAUCUGUGAUUCCGAAGAUGUUUUCCUCUUUUCCUCUCGACCAUUCCCUCCAGAGGGAUUUGAAAGUGCUGCUCGCCUCAACAUUACUCCAGAGAUAGGUGGUGCCAAUGUAUCUGGAUCCAGGAGCACCCUGCUAGCAGCAGUAGCAACUUAUCCAUGAUGUUCACCAGUUUGGCUCGACCAGUGAAUCAGAACUAGUUACACUGGUCUCCUGUUGAGGUAACAAUCUCAUCACAGGUCUACAGUGGUCGUGCCUUCAUGUGGAUCUUCUCCAGCAUCAGAUCUGGAUCCAACCUAAAGGAUCUCAUCAUGCAGCUUCAAUGAUUUCUAUAUUAAUGACUACAUUACUGUGACCUAGGCACAGAGGACAGCCUGUCCUGGGCUCUGAGCUUUAUGUUCUAGGCUGGUUCCUGGAGAAUGAAGGAAACUCAUGAGUCAAGCUCCCCAGUAAAUCUCUGACCUCCUGAGCCUUAUUGUCUCUGUCUGUUCCAUCCUCAGGUCAGAGGCUGCUGAUGGUCCCAGGUUCUUGUUCCUCUGUUUGGUGUUGAAACCAGGAACAAUCUGAAUGUUAGCUCAGUUUGAGGGUACUACCACUGAACAAAGUUCUAAAAGGUUCUGCAGUCUGGACUGAGAUCUCUGCUCAGUUUUCAGGAGGUCCAGGUUCAGCAGGACAUCUCCUUGAACUGGAUCCAGAGUUCUGCUGUUCUGGACCAAUAAGGAAGG